GAUGAACGCUGGCGGCGUGCCUAAUACAUGCAAGUCGAGCGAACAGACGAGGAGCUUGCUCCUCUGACGUUAGCGGCGGACGGGUGAGUAACACGUGGAUAACCUACCUAUAAGACUGGGAUAACUUCGGGAAACCGGAGCUAAUACCGGAUAAUAUAUUGAACCGCAUGGUUCAAUAGUGAAAGACGGUUUUGCUGUCACGUAUAGAUGGAUCCGCGCCGCAUUAGCUAGUUGGUAAGGUAACGGCUUACCAAGGCAACGAUGCGUAGCCGACCUGAGAGGGUGAUCGGCCACACUGGAACUGAGACACGGUCCAGACUCCUACGGGAGGCAGCAGUAGGGAAUCUUCCGCAAUGGGCGAAAGCCUGACGGAACAACGCCGCGUGAGUGAUGAAGGUCUUCGGAUCGUAAAACUCUGUUAUUAGGGAAGAACAAAUGUGUAAGUAACUAUGCACGUCUUGACGGUACCUAAUCAGAAAGCCACGGCUAACUACGUG
rnacentral:rRNA from 1 species